rnacentral:rRNA from 1 species
UGAGGAAUAUUGGUCAAUGGACGCAAGUCUGAACCAGCCAAGUAGCGUGCAGGAUGACGGCUCUAUGGGUUGUAAACUGCUUUUAUUUGGGGAUAAAGUGGGGAACGUGUUCCCUUUUGCAGGUACCAUAUGAAUAUGGACCGGCUAAUUCCGUGCCAGCAGCCGCGGUAAUACGGAAGGUUCGGGCGUUAUCCGGAUUUAUUGGGUUUAAAGGGAGCGUAGGCCGUUUGGUAAGCGUGUUGUGAAAUGUAGGAGCUCAACUUCUAGAUUGCAGCGCGAACUGUCAGACUUGAGUGCGCACAACGUAGGCGGAAUUCAUAGUGUAGCGGUGAAAUGCUUAGAUAUCAUGAAGAACUCCGAUUGCGAAGGCAGCUUACGGGAGCGCAACUGACGCUGAAGCUCGAAGGUGCGGGUAUCGAACAGG